rnacentral:lncRNA from 1 species
UUUUUCUAUUUUCUAUUUCAUGUUUACUGUAAAAUUAAUCACCUGACUGACUACUCUUGAAAUUACCUUGACUGCAUUUGUCCAAUGUUUGUGUUUUCGAUAUACAUGUAACUCUGUAUUUUGGUUGGUGGUGUCAGAGUUUAGGCACAUUUUUCUUAAUGAAACUUUGUCAUGUGUCUUUCACGUUUUCACUCCUUUAGAUUUGACAGUUGAAUGGUGCAAAUGGGAGUUUGGAUUCAGAGAAGUUGUGGAAACCACCUCCAAACAGAGACUAUGUACCUUGUGUUGCCCCAAGUUCAUCCUAUGCGUGUAAGAAAUGUUGGGUGUUUCAUACUGCAUAUCUAAUAGAGUUUUCUCCUCCUUUGUAGCUCGUGUUAGAUAUCCAUCUGUGGCUUAUUUUCUGUAUUGCAAUAUAAUCUUCAGCUCCUCCAGAAUCUCGAGGUUACCUGCUGGUUGAUGCAAAUGGCG